ensembl:lncRNA
UUAUAUUUUUGUCUAUUGUUAUAUGAAGGUUCUAUGCCAAUUUUUAAAGUAACCAGCAGCAUUUAAUUGGAAUUAUAGUCUGGGAACAUGAAGGGGAAGGGAAGUUUUGACUCAGUAAUAUAUGGGCUCUUUUUCAGUCCUAUUUUAUUUCUAUAGUUGUACUUCAGAUCUCUUCCUUUCAGUGUGCUUGGUUUUUUAAAUAACUGUAUAUUGUUUAUAUACAAGUAAGCUUGCAUAUCUUAUCUUGGCAUGGGAUAUUCACUCAGAUGUGGAAGCAAGGAAGUCUUAAGUCUCACUGCACAACCACAGCGAAAGAAACCACAAGACAAUUCCUACAAACUUCCCCAGGAUAGAACAAGCUUUAGAAGAACCAGAUCAGCAUUUGAAAACAAUAGAAUCACAGGUCUCAAAAUGCAGAGAUAAUAGGUUUGGACAGAUGUGACUGUAAUGUUGUCAGCUGCUGCUAUUCCAUAUCAAGCCUCUAAUAUUUGCUGUUUAUCCUUCAAGCCAAAGCCUGUGAAGACCAGUGAUUAGAAGCAAAUAUUAGCUGGUUUUUUUUGGUUUGUAACGGAGAUUCUGAGAAAAUCUUGAAGUCAUGACAAAAAGGUACACUAACAGUUAAAAAUACACACAACAAAAAUAGCCAGCAACUGUUUAUUUUAAAUCUCAGAUUUUUUAUGACCAACUGUUUCAAGACCAGAGCUAUGGUUUACUUGUGAUACACGGUUUGCAUGUGAUAACUAAAUGAUGUAACUGAGGGCAGAAAUUGGUCAAUGGAUUCUUGUAAAUUAUGAUGGUAAAAGGAAGGAAUUAAGUAGCUUGAAAUUCAGAUUGUAUUUCCAGAGAUCCAACAGGGAUUUUGUCAGUUCUUUUAAAUCUGGAGCUUUUUUCCCCGACAGAUAUUUUCCCAUAAAAGUAUUUUGUAAUUGGAAGGGAAAAAACUAAACAAACAAAAACCCUCACCGAAUAGUCAGAAGGCAUUGUGAUACAAAAACUACUAAAGCCCUGAGUUACUCUGACUUUUUUCAGGAUGUAACAAUUUUUAGUAUGAGAACUGUAAGGAAAAUCAUAAAACAAGCUGUAUGCUAAGAUUUGCAAAACUGCAGUGCAAAGAAAUCAAGAUGGGCAAAUUUUUUUCAGUUUUAUGUAAAUCAGAGUCUUUCUGACUUCUGCUUCUGAUAUUUAGAAGUCUCUUAUUUUUCCUUGUCUCUCACACCUUUGCUGGAAGUGCUUCCUGUUGCAGGAGCUGAUUCACAUAUGUUUUCUUAGGUCCAGGUGACUAGCAGCUGUUUCAAUCUUUGUCCUAGUUAAACUGACCAAUACUUGGUGACAGCUAGGUACCAGAAAAGAGCAUUUUCUUGUCCUUUGUUGAUUAUUACAGCCUAUACAUCAGGCAAGAUUGCUUUUGAUUGCAAUGAGAUGAUAGAAGGAAGAAAGCAAUUUCCAGCUGUGAGUUUUAAUUUCUGUUGUUUGGCAGAUUCCUCCCUUAUUUUUCUCAUUUAUAGAAUGAGUGUUUGUUUUUUUUUCUUAAGAAAAGUACAAAGCUUCAAGUGAGGAUGGCACUAAUUUUUGAAUUCUGGUCUGCUAUUUUAGGCUAUGACAACCAAGGGAAAGGCAAUCACACUUGGCAUGUCAAUCACCAUUAUUUCUUUUGCAUGAUAGCCUCCAUGACUAGUUUUAAUGACUGCAGUUUCUAAUUUGUAGCUACUUGAUAAACACUAAUUAGCUAUUGGGCAUAAAAGUCUUAAUGGGCUGAAAAGAAAUAUCUGGGUAUCCUGCUAAGCCAGUAAAUAAAGGAAUAUAUAACAAUUAUGGUGACA